rnacentral:rRNA from 1 species
GACAGAGGGUGCAAACGUUGUUCGGAAUUACUGGGCGUAAAGCGCGUGUAGGCGGCUAUGCAAGUCGGGCGUGAAAUCCCACGGCUCAACCGUGGAAGUGCACUCGAAACUGCGUAGCUAGGGUCCUGGAGAGGAAGGUGGAAUACUUGGUGUAGAGGUGAAAUUCGUAGAUAUCAAGUGGAACACCGGUGGCGAAGGCGGCCUUCUGGACAGUGACUGACGCUGAGACGCGAAAGCGUGGGGAGCAAACAGG